UCAACUCUCAAAAAAUUGCACUGUCCAGGAAGACAUUUUGAUAUGCACCACAUCAUGAAAGAAGAUAUAUAUCGCAUAUACAAAAAAGCAUCAUGGAUGAAAUAAAGUGAAAAAUGCUUUGCUUCUAUCUCCCUUCAGAUUCAGAAAGUUCCUUCCAUGACCGAGGAUAGCAUUUAUCAUUGUGAGUCAGUCCCUUGG
rnacentral:lncRNA from 1 species